GGCCCCGUAGCUCAGGUGGAUAGAGCAGCAGUUUCCUAAACUGCGUGUCGGAAGUUCGAGUCUUCCCGGGGUCACCA
rnacentral:tRNA from 2 species